AACUGCCCUUGAUACUGGGUGUCUUGGGUUCGAGAGAGGUGAGUGGAAUUCCGAGUGUAGAGGUGAAAUUCGUAGAUAUUCGGAGGAACACCAGUGGCGAAGGCGGCUCACUGGCUCGAUACUGACGCUGAGGUGCGAAAGUGUGGGGAGCAAACAGGAUUAGAUACCCUGGUAGUCCACACCGUAAACGAUGAAUGCCAGACGUCGGGGGGCUUGCCCUUCGGUGUCACACCUAACGGAUUAAGCAUUCCGCCUGGGGAGUACGGUCGCAAGAUUAAGACUCAAAGGAAUUGACGGGGGCCCGCACAAGCGGUGGAGCAUGUGGUUUAUUCGAAGCAACGCGCAGAACCUUACCAA
rnacentral:rRNA from 1 species